CUGAAACCCCAAAAUUUUCCCCUCUUCUUCGCGGUUUAUGAGUAUUAAAAUUUUUUCCCCGCUUAUUCACCCUUUUCAAACUCAUUUCUUUCGCCUCUUCUUUCUUUUUCUCGGAUCUUCUUUCUCCCUCUCAGCAAAGAUCUUUGAUUUUUUCCGUCUCCUUUUCGUUCGCUCUCUGAGGCUGGAAACAGGCUCGUCGAACCCCCGUCGUCAGUCGCUGAGCUCAUCCCUUUCCUAGACGUUGAUGAAGAACCUGCAAUUAGAACAAAUACCACCAUAUUAUGAAAUUUUAAUGAAAGUCGUGAAUUUCACAGCCUCUUUGAAUCUUCAGUCCUUUUUCACCUUUGGUUUGGGAAGCAAUAUUUGGGAAGAAAACCUCUCAGAAAGCAUUCUAAUUUUUUUUUUUUUUAGGCUUCUAAAAUUUGUAAGUCUCUUUGUCCUACCCCUUUUCUCUUGUCUUACUAUUAUUUAAUUACAUCUAUUAUAUGGAAGAUUCUUAGAAUUUAUGAAUGGAUGUUACCUCUUCUUUUUUUCUUUAUACAA